rnacentral:lncRNA from 1 species
GAACGAUCUGCGUUACAUCCCUCUUUCUCCCUGGAUCUGCACAGACUGUAAAUCAAUCCCUAUCAGGAAAACAUCAUCACUCUGUGCUGUCCUCUGCACCAGACAGGCAGUCAGGACAGAAGGAGUUCAUUUUCAGGAUUCUGACACCAAGCUGCUAUGUGACCCCUGUAAAGUUGCAUCACAUUUCUUCUUCUUCCCCUGCCAGCUGUUGGUUUGGGUUAUUAGUGUUAUUAUUACUAUUGCUGCUGCUAUAGGCACUAGCAUAUGAACCACUGUCAGGUACCAGGCCCUCAUUGUGCAAACAAUGUGUUUAUGCAAUUAUGUAAACUAACAAACAAACAAACCCAAUUCUUUUCUCUUGGGAUGGACUUAUGCCCUAAAAUACAAGUAAACAGCCAGAUAAACAGUAAACUGCUCCUCCACUGCAGGCUUGAAGGGUGACUUGGCCAAAAGGGCCGCCCUCUUUUUGGGUUACUAAUCAUCACCAUGGCAUUAGCAACACACAGCUUACAGGCACAAAGCUCCUGGGAUGCACACAGGGGAUUAAAGCAUGGGGAAACAGACCCUAAACCACCAGAAGAAAAUGUUCAAUUCACGCCUUACGUCUUUUCUAACAACUGCAAUGCUGCAUACUUGAGCCAUUCUCCGAAUAUCACUGCUUACAAGUAUUUGACACAAGGCAAUGCCAGGAAGCACUUUUGCUUGGUUUUGGUUUUUUUCUGUGGAUGCAGAGUGCUGCCUAAAAAAAUCCCCAGCAAGAAAUACUGGGCUGCUGUGGCCUCACAGCCUGGAUUUUUCUUCCAGCACCAUGAGAUUUCAGACGGGUGUGCUUCUUGGUGUGCUAUGCCUGGCCAGAGACAGAACAGAGGCCACGAGCUGAGUUGCCAAAACACAUGUGCUUGUUGGACAUUUUUGUCUAAAGACACUAUGAAGUGCUAAAAUAUUAAAGAAGUCAAGCAAAAAGUUUUCCUCUGGCCUUUGGAAGAGUUCUGCAAACAGCAAUAAAAACGUAAAAGAAGAAUGCUGAAUAAUCA